rnacentral:lncRNA from 1 species
CACAUGAGAAUUAGUAUAACUUGCACACAAUAUACAAAAUAGUGGAGUGAUGAGUUACUAGGCUAAGUCGUCAACAUUUCAUGGGAUUUUACGGGUGCAUUCAGGACUUUGCUUUAGAAAAGUUAGUUACAUGGUAUUGCUUGAAUUUCUGAACUCUAUAUAGGUACGUAAGAUUUAAAUAUAUAUUUUAUUUAAAUUUAAUCAUAAAUAUCAUAAAUCAAAUCACAAACACUAGAUAUAUGCUACAGCCUUUUGAUUCGCAUGAGUAACGAGCG